UAACAACCAAUGAAGAUAUGAUCACAUCAUGUGAUCAAGAAAGACAUAAAACUGGAGCUGUCUUAAAACACCUCAACGUUUUUGAAUUUCUUCGAAAGCGACGCCGCUUAUAGCGUUCUUUGUUGAAUUGAGUUAAACUUGUCAAUUGGAAGUGCAUAAUGUCAAGAUAUAGAGACAGUGGUUGCCCACCAGAUUGCAAAGUAUAUGUUGGAGAUUUGGGAAACAGUGGAACGAAACAUGAAAUAGAAGAUGCAUUUAGUUAUUAUGGCCCUUUAAGAAAUGUGUGGGUUGCUAGAAACCCACCUGGGUUUGCAUUUGUUGAAUUUGAAGAUUCACGGGAUGCUAGGGAUGCAGUCAGAGCUCUUGAUGGAAAAUUAUUAUGUGGCCGCAGAGUGAGAGUAGAGCUGUCAACUGGACGUACACGAAAUUCUUUCAGAGGUCCACCGCCUCGUCCAUUCCAUCCUGAUGAUCGCUGCUAUGAUUGUGGUGAAAGAGGUCAUUAUGCAAGAGAUUGUAAACGUGUGAGCAAAAGGUCACCUGUUAGGAAUCGUCGUACUAGAUCACGUUCCCGUGGUCGUUCUGUAAGCCGAAGUCGUUCCAAGUCAGUGAGCAGAACUCCUAGCCGAAGUCGCAGUGUUAGCCGAAGUCGUUCCAGGAGCAGAAGCAAAUCUGGAUCUCGUGGGAGGCAGUGAUCUGACUGGUUUGAAGACUUUACAGCAUACUCUGCUGUUAUUCAAUUAUAAAUGUUCUUGUUUGUAGAGGAUGAAUGUCCAAAGAAAAACUGUACUCGAACAUCCACUUUGAUAAAGGUCACUCUUUAUCAAAAUAGAAGAAAAUGUGCUUCAAUAUGAAAAAUUACAGAACUUUCCAGGAUGAUCAUUGUUUUCAUGUACUCCCAAAUGAUAAGUUUGCUAUUAUUCAUUUUUAGUUAUGCCAUAUAAUUUCAGAAAUGCAAAUAAGCAAUUGGAAUUCUGUUAAAAAUUUAUGUAUUACGAAACCUUAUCUUUGAAACAGUAUGCUCAACAACAUUCUCAACUCUUAACUUUUGGUGUGAAAUUUCACUACAAAAAGCAUGAAUGAAAGCAGCUCUAUUUUCUGUGCUGUGAGAAAGACUGCACUGUCACUUUCUUAUGUUUUAUAGAUUUCUAACCAGUAUAAUAAUCAAAUAGCAAUAUCUCUAUAAAUAUGUAAUAAUGUCUUUGAAAAGAAGUGCAAUAAUUUUCCCAAAUUUUUAAUCAAAACAGCUUAAAAAUAUACAAGAAUGUACUACAAAACAGAGUUCUUAUUUCCCAAAAAAAGGGAAAAUUUUUAACAGUUUCUUCAGUAUUUAACUAACUUCAUAUAGGUAAGUUUUGUUAAAAUGUUUACUUUUAAAUUAAAACUCUCUAAGCAGUCUUUAAUUCUUAAAGUAGCUGCAGUUAGAGGUAUUGCUGUAGUAUAAUGAGUAUAGCAAAAAGCCAUAGGAGUGGGCAGAAACUUUUUAAGAGGGUGUAGCUAUUUAAAUCCCUUGUAAUUUGCAGCAGUUGAAGAAUAAAUCAUUAAAACUUUA
rnacentral:misc_RNA from 1 species